UGUAGCUCAGUUGGUUAGAGCACACGCUUGAUAAGCGUGGGGUCACAAGUUCAAGUCUUGUCA
rnacentral:tRNA from 1 species